rnacentral:rRNA from 1 species
CCUACGGGAGGCAGCAGUAGGGAAUCUUCCACAAUGGGCGAAAGCCUGAUGGAGCAACGCCGCGUGGGUGAAGAAGGUCUUCGGAUCGUAAAACCCUGUUGUUAGAGAAGAAAGUGCGUGAGAGUAACUGUUCACGUUUCGACGGUAUCUAACCAGAAAGCCACGGCUAACUACGUGCCAGCAGCCGCGGUAAUACGUAGGUGGCAAGCGUUAUCCGGAUUUAUUGGGCGUAAAGGGAACGCAGGCGGUCUUUUAAGUCUGAUGGGAAAGCCUUCGGCUUAACCGGAGUAGUGCAUUGGAAACGGGGGGACUUGAGUGCAGAAGAGGAGAGUGGAACUCCAUGUGUAGCGGUGAAAUGCGUAGAUAUAUGGAAGAACACCAGUGGCGAAAGCGGCUCUCUGGUCUGUAACUGACGCUGAGGUUCGAAAGCGUGGGUAGCAAACAGGAUUAGAUACCCCUGUAGUC